ensembl:snoRNA SNORD58 Small nucleolar RNA SNORD58
CUGCAAUGAUGACCAACUUAGGACACCUUUGGAUUCCUCAUGAAAACAGCUAAGUGGAUCUGAGCAGU